rnacentral:rRNA from 1 species
UACGUAGGGUGCGAGCGUUGUCCGGAAUUAUUGGGCGUAAAGAGCUCGUAGGCGGUGUGUCACGUCGGCCGUGAAAACCUGCAGCUUAACUGUGGGCGUGCGGUCGAUACGGGCAUCACUGGAGUUCGGCAGGGGAGACUGGAAUUCCUGGUGUAGCGGUGAAAUGCGCAGAUAUCGUAAGGAAGACCAGUGGCGAAGGCGGGUCUCUGGACAGUUCCUGACGCUGAGGCACGAAGGCCAGGGGAGCAAACGGGG